rnacentral:rRNA from 1 species
UACGUAGGGUGCGAGCGUUAAUCGGAAUUACUGGGCGUAAAGUGUGCGCAGGCGGCCGCGCAAGUCGAGUGUGAAAGCCCCGGGCUUAACUUGGGAAUUGCGCUCGAAACUACGUGGCUGGAGUGUGGCAGAGGAAGGUGGAAUUCCACGUGUAGCGGUGAAAUGCGUAGAGAUCGGGAAGAACACCGGUGGCGAAAGCGCUCUACUGGACGGCAUCUGACACUCACAGGACGAAAGCUAGGGGAGCGAAUGGG